rnacentral:rRNA from 1 species
UAUGACCAUAUGACGUUGAAACACCAGUUCCCGUACGAUCACCGAAGUUGAGCAACGUCGUGCCUGGUCAGUAUCUAAAUAGGUGACCGCUUGGGAAUAUCAGGUGCU